GCCGUCUUAGCUCAGCUGGUAGAGCAACGGUUUUGUAAACCGUAGGUCCGCGGUUCGAGCCCGCGAGACGGCU
rnacentral:tRNA from 1 species